rnacentral:rRNA from 1 species
GACGAACGCUGGCGGCGUGCCUAAUACAUGCAAGUUGAGCGCUGAAGGUUGGUACUUGUACCAACUGGAUGAGCAGCGAACGGGUGAGUAACGCGUGGGGAAUCUGCCUUUGAGCGGGGGACAACAUUUGGAAACGAAUGCUAAUACCGCAUAAAAACUUUAAACACAAGUUUUAAGUUUGAAAGAUGCAAUUGCAUCACUCAAAGAUGAUCCCGCGUUGUAUUAGCUAGAUGGUGAGGUAAAGGCUCACCAAGGCGAUGGUACAUAGCCGACCUGAGAGGGUGAUCGGCCACAUUGGGACUGAGACACGGCCCAAACUCCUACGGGAGGCAGCAGUAGGGAAUCUUCGGCAAUGGACGAAAGUCUGACCGAGCAACGCCGCGUGAGUGAAGAAGGUUUUCGGAUCGUAAAACUCUGUUGGUAGAGAAGAACGUUGGUGAGAGUGGAAAGCUCAUCAAGUGACGGUAACUACCCAGAAAGGGACGGCUAACUACGUG